CCAGAUGGGAUUAGCUAGUAGGUGGGGUAACGGCUCACCUAGGCGACGAUCCCUAGCUGGUCUGAGAGGAUGACCAGCCACACUGGAACUGAGACACGGUCCAGACUCCUACGGGAGGCAGCAGUGGGGAAUAUUGCACAAUGGGCGCAAGCCUGAUGCAGCCAUGCCGCGUGUGUGAAGAAGGCCUUCGGGUUGUAAAGCACUUUCAGCGGGGAGGAAGGCGUUAAGGUUAAUAACCUUGGCGAUUGACGUUACCCGCAGAAGAAGCACCGGCUAACUCCGUGCCAGCAGCCGCGGUAAUACGGAGGGUGCAAGCGUUAAUCGGAAUUACUGGGCGUAAAGCGCACGCAGGCGGUCUGUCAAGUCGGAUGUGAAAUCCCCGGGCUCAACCUGGGAACUGCAUUCGAAACUGGCAGGCUAGAGUCUUGUAGAGGGGGGUAGAAUUCCAGGUGUAGCGGUGAAAUGCGUAGAGAUCUGGA
rnacentral:rRNA from 1 species